rnacentral:rRNA from 2 species
GAUGAACGCUAGCUACAGGCUUAACACAUGCAAGUCGAGGGGCAGCAUGGAAGAAGCUUGCUUCUUCUGAUGGCGACCGGCGCACGGGUGCGUAACGCGUAUCAAACCUGCCUCAUACUCGGGGAUAGCCUUGCGAAAGUAAGAUUAAUACCCGAUGUUGUUAUGUUACCGCAUGGUGAUAUAACCAAAGAUUUAUCGGUAUGAGAUGGUGAUGCGUCCGAUUAGGUAGUAGGCGGGGUAACGGCCCACCUAGCCUUCGAUCGGUAGGGGUUCUGAGAGGAAGGUCCCCCACACUGGAACUGAGACACGGUCCAGACUCCUACGGGAGGCAGCAGUGAGGAAUAUUGGUCAAUGGACGAAAGUCUGAACCAGCCAAGUAGCGUGCAGGAUGACGGCCCUCUGGGUUGUAAACUGCUUUUAGUUGGGAAUAAAAAAGAGGACGUGUCCUCUAUUGUAUGACCUCAGAAAAAGGACCG